UUUAUCCAUUUAUGACCCUCUAUCCUUCUUAUUUUUUGGUUGCAUUUAAAGUGAUUUGCAGACUUUGCUCCUAAAUAUCUAAAUAAACAAAUAUUACUAUACUUCAAUAUUUGUUUCCUUUUUUGGGUGGUGGGCGUGGGAGCUGCACCUGUGACACAUAGAAGUUUCUGCGCCAGGGAUUGAACCAGCAAUGCUGGUUGUAACUGCAUUGCUCCACAGCUGUGGCAACACUGGAUCCUUAAUAACCCACUGUGCCGCAGGGGAACUUCCUGUGUACUUUUUAAAGUAAAAUCUGCAUGCAAUAUAGUACAUAAAUUUUAAUUGAAUUAUUCGAUGAAUUUUGACAAAUAUAUGUAUCUAAUAACUCAAACCCCUACCAGGAUUAGAACAUUAUUUUGAUUCUAGAAAUUUUCUUCAUGCCCUUUUUUUCUCCUUUUUUUGACCACCUAGGACAUAUGGAGUUUGGGAUCAGAUCCAAGCUGCAGUUGCAAUGCUGGAUCCUUAAUCUAGUUGUGCCGGGGUUGGCAGGGGAGGGAAUCAGACCUGCGUGCUUCAAAGAAGCCAGUGUUGCGCAACAGUGGAAAUUCCUCUUCAUGCCCUUUUUUCUUUUUUCUUUUUUUUUUUAGGCAACACCCAUAGCAUAUGGAAGUUCCCAAGCUAUGGGUCUAAUCGGAGCUAUAGGUGCAGCCUACACCACAGCCACAGCAAUCCCAUAUCAAAGCAAUGUCUGCAGCCUAUACCACAGCUCAUGGCAAUGCGGGGUCCUUUGACCCACUGAGCAAGGCCAGGGAUCAAACCUGCAUCCUAAUGGAUACUAGUUGGGUUUGUUUCCACUAUGCCACACUGGGAAUUACCUUUAAGCCCUUUUUCACUCAGUUCCCAGAGGAGCCAAUACUCAUUUUUCUGCCACAGAUUAAUUUUUAAUAUUCAAGAAUCUCAUUUGGAGUUUUCUUGUGGCGCAGAGGGUUAAGGAUCUGGCAUUGUCACUGCAGCAGCUUGGGUUGCCGCUGUGGCACAGGUUUGAACCCUGGCCUAGGAACUUCCACAUGCCAUGCAGUCAUGGCCAAAAAAGAUAAUAAAGAAUCUCUUAUAAAUGGAACCAUACAAUACAUACUCUUCUGUGUAAAACUUCUUUCAGGAAGGAAUUUUUUUUUGAAAUUCCCCUAUUUUUGUUGCAUAUUUUUAGUUUAUUUCUUUUUAUUACUUAAUAGUACUCCUUUGAAUGUAUCUCAGUUUUUUCGUUUAUUCUCUUAUUGAUGGACAUCUCAGCUACUUACAGUUUUUUGUUAUUGUGAGUAAAAGUUUCUGGGCUGGGGAUCAAACCCAAGCCACGGUAGCAAUCCAAGCCACUGCAGUGACCAUGCCAUAUCCUUAACCCACUUCACCACAAGAAUACCCCACUGCAAACAUUCUUGUACAAGACUUUUUGUGGAAGCUUGCUUUUAGUUCUUUUAUAUAAAUACAUGGAUAGAAAUGCUGGAUCAAGAAACUGCUUAACAUAGUCCCAAGUUAUUGUCCCCUUUUGUGUGGCCCCCAGAAAUGUAUGAGAAUUCCAGUUGCAUCAUCUCUUGGCCAGCAUUUGGUGUUGUCAGUCUUUUUAAUUUGGCUAUUCUGUGGGUAUUUAAUAGUAUCACUAUGGCUUUAAUUUGUUCCCAGGCUAGGGGUCCAAUCGGAGCUGUAGCUACCAGCCUACACCCAGCCACAGCAACGUGGGAGCCGAGCCCCAUCUGUGACCUAUACCACAGCUUACAGCAACACCAGAUCCUUAACCCACUGAAUGAGGCCGGGAAUCGAACCCACAUCCUCAUGGAUGCUAGUCGGGUUCACUAACCACUGAGGCACGACGGGAACUCCGGGAACUUUGUAGUUUUAAGCUUUAAGUUUAGGUGUUUGAUCCAUUACAAAUUAAUUAUGUACAGAGUGAGAUAGAGAUUUAGGUUCACUUUUUUUAUAUGGAUAUCCAGUUAUUCUGACACUACUGAAAAGAUUGUCCAUUUCCCAUUGGAUUGCUUUGGUGCCUUUCUUGAAACUCAGUUUAUUGAAUAAGUAAGUUUUUUUUUUUCACCAGUGUUCACUGUUUUGUGAUCUCUUUGUCUGCUCAUAUGACAGGACCAUGCUGACUUGAUUUCUGUAGUUUCAUACUAAGUCUUAAAAUCAGGUAAUGUAAGUCCUCCAACUUUGCUUUUCUUUUUAAAGAUUUCUUUCGGUUUUUCUCCACAUCUUUCGCAUUUCCAUAUAAAUUUUAGAAUCAAGUUGUCUUAUUUCUACAAUAUUCCUGGUAGGGAUAUGCAUGCAGUUGCAUUGAAUAUCAAAUUUUGUCAAAUGUUUUUUCUGUAUCUGUUUAAAUGAUUAUUUUUUGUAUUUUAUUCUGUUAAUACAGUGGAUCACAUUCAUUUAAAAAAAUGUUAAACCAAUCUUGCAUUCUGAGAAUAAACUUCCCUUAAUCAUGAUAUAUUAUCCUUUUAUGUACUGCUAGACUCAAUUUGCUAAUGUUUUGUUUUAGAUAUUUGCAUCUUUCUUCUUGAAGGAUAUCAGCCUGUAAUUUUUUAUUUUUCCCUUCCCCUCCCUCUCUCCGUUUCACAAUCUCAGUCUCUCUCUCUCCCCACCCCUACGUCCUUCUUCUCUUCCUUCUCCUCCUCCUUUUUGUAAUUUGUCUAGUUUUAUUAGUGGGUUAUGUUGAUUGACCUCAUGAAAGGUUGAAAUAUAUUCUCUUCCAUUUUCUCAAGGCGUUUGUAUAAUGUUGAUGUUCUUUGUUUAAGUGUUUCAUAGUAUUUACCAGUAAAACCAUCUUGGCCUGAAGUUUUCUUUGUGGAGGUUUUUGAUAGCAAAUUCAAUUUCUUUAAUAGAUGUAGAUGUAUUCAUAUUUUCAAUUUAAUCUUAUGUAAGUUUUAUAGGUGGUCUUUUCAAGGAGUUUAUUUCAUCUAAACUUAUUGGCAUAUAAUUGUUCCUAAUAUUACUUUUUUAUCCUUUUUUAUCCCACAUUAAGUCUGUGGGAUCUAGGAUGAUAUCCUAUUUCAUUUCUCACACUGGUGUUCUAUUUUAUUUUCUUCACUAAUCUAGCUAGGAUGUUAUGAAUUUUGUUGAGUGUUACCAAUUUCAUAGAUCAUUUCAAAGAACUAAUUUUUGGUUUUAUUAAUUUAUCUUACCUACUUCAUGAUUGAAAGUCUUUAUUAUUUAUUCUCUUUUAAUUAUUCUGUGUUUACUCUGCUUUUUCUAGCUUUUAAAAGUUGACCUUUGCAGUCAUUUAUUUUCUUGUUUUCUAAUUUAGGCAGAAAAUUCUUAUUUUCUCUGAUAAUAUUCUCCCUUGAAGGUUAUUUUAUUUGAUGUUUUUAUUUUUUUAUGCUUCAUAUAUUUUUCUAUCCAUUUAUCUGUAUCUACCUGCAUCUCUUAUAGUUGUCUCCUGCUUUUUAAAAAUCUAUUCUGUUCAUUGUGGCUCAGCAAGUUAAGAAUCUGACAUAGACAUGGUGUCUGUGAGGAUGCAGGUUCAAUCGCUGGCCUCACUCAGUGGGUUAAAAUUCCAUAUUGCCACUAGCUGUGGCAUAGGUUGCUAGUGAGGCUCAGAUCCAUUUUAUCUGUGGCUGUGGUGUAGGCUGGCAGCUGUAGCUCUGAUUUAACCCCUGGUCUGGAAACUUCCAUAUGCUACAGGUGUGGCCUUAAAAAAAAAAAAAAAAAAAAAAA
rnacentral:lncRNA from 1 species